rnacentral:sRNA from 1 species
CUCUGGCAACAGAGCGCCGGAUGCCGGGAAGUUGGUCAAACUUGAUCAUUUAGAGGAAGUAAAAGUCGUAACAAGGUUUCCGUAGGUGAACCUGCGGAAGGAUCAUUACCGAUAAAGUAUCCAAGAACAACGACCACAACCGUUGUUUGCCUUGUGAACCGUACCAAACCUUUGAGGGGUCGGCAGCAGCCGUUAAAAUGACGAGCGGACGUCUUAGACCGCGGCCGCCUCGUCUGCCCCGCCUGUGUGUUUUUUAUUUCUGUUAGCCACUAGUCGUCUGAUGUUUGUCGCCCGUGUGUGUGUGGCAAAAAAGUUAUAAUAGGAUGACAACUUUUGACGGUGGAUCUCUUGGCUCACGCAUCGAUGAAGAACGCAGCCAGCUGCGAUAAGUAGUGUGAAUUGCAGAAUUCAGUGAAUCAUCGAAUCUUUGAACGCAAAUGGCGCUCUUGGCUUCUCCCAGGAGCAUGUCUGUCUGAGUGUCGGAUAUCAUCCAGCGCAGGCCCCGUGCUUGCGGCGUUGAGGCGUCACGGCCCCCUUUUGCGGGCGGCCGUGUCCCUUGAAAGGCAGAGAGACUCGCUGCGGUUGCCGGGUUUUUUUCCCUGGGCACACGAGCGGAGGCUAAAAGUUGGGCCAGUCCUUCGCGUGCUCCAGGGUCCCGGCCGCUGGAGAGUCGCCGAGGCGAAAACGAGAGAACAGGUUAUUACCUUCUUGACCUCAGAUCAGGCA